GGGCAUUCUCAGGGCAGGGUGAAAUUCCCUACUGGUGGUAUAUGUUUACAUAAGCCCACGAGCGCCUAUUUUUAUGUGAUGUAGAAUUAGGGUCAGCAGAUUUGGUGAGAUUCCAAAGCCAACAGUUAAAGUCUGGAUGAAAGAGAAUAAAA
rnacentral:ncRNA from 2 species